UACGUAGGGUGCGAGCGUUGCCCGGAUUUAUUGGGCGUAAAGGGCGCGUAGGCGGCCACGCACGUCCGUUGUGAAAUCGCCCGGCUCAACUGGGCGGGGUCAGCGGAUACGGUGUGGCUCGAGCAAGCUAGGGGGCAAUGGAAUUCCCGGUGUAGUGGUGGAAUGCGUAGAUAUCGGGAGGAACACCAGUGGCGAAGGCGGUUGCCUGGAGCUUUGCUGACGCUGAGGCGCGAAGGCGUGGGGAGCGAACGGG
rnacentral:rRNA from 1 species